rnacentral:rRNA from 1 species
GGCGAUCAGAUACCGCCCUAGUUCUGACCGUAAACGAUGCCAACUAGCGAUCCGCCAGUCGACUCAUCGCUCUGGUGGGGAGCUUCCCGGAAACGAAAGUCUUCCGGUUCCGGGGGAAGUAUGGUUGCAAAGCUGAAACUUAAAGGAAUUGACGGAAGGGCACCACCAGGAGUGGAGCCUGCGGCUUAAUUUGACUCAACACGGGGAAACUCACCCGGCCCGGACACCGUAAGGAUUGACAGAUUGAUAGCUUUUUCAUGAUUCGGUGGAUGGUGGUGCAUGGCCGUUCUUAGUUCGUGGAGCGAUUUGUCUGGUUUAUUCCGAUAACGAGCGAGACUCUGGCCUACUAAAUAGUUGACGCAUUGCCACUGUGCGCACAACUUCUUAGAGGGAUUUUCGGUGUUUUCAACCGCACGAAAUUGAGCAAUAACAGGUCUGUGAUGCCCUUAGAUGUCCGGGGCUGCACGCGCGCUACACUGGCAAACGCAACGUGCCUGUCCUGCCCCGAAAGGAGCGGGUAAACCCCUGAAAUUUUGCCGUGAUUGGGAUCGGACAUUGCAACUAUUGUCCGUGAACGAGGAAUUCCUUGUAGGGGCGAGUCAUCAACUCGUCCCGAAUACGUC